rnacentral:rRNA from 1 species
ACUCAAAGGAAUAGACGGGGGCCCGCACAAGCAGCGGAGCGUGUGGUUUAAUUCGACGCAACGCGCAGAACCUUACCCAGGUUUGACAUGUCGCUGCAGGCUGGUGAAAGCCAGCGCCUUCGAGGGAGCGGCACAGGUGCUGCAUGGUUGUCGUCAGCUCGUGUCGUGAGAUGUUGGGUUAAGUCCCGCAACGAGCGCAACCCGCAUCGGUAGUUACUGGUGUCUACCGAGACUGCCGGCUUUGGGCCGGAGGAAGGCGCGGACGACGUCAAAUCCGCAUGGCCCUGACACCUGGGGCGACACACACGCUACAAUGGCCAGGACAGCGCGCGGCGACCCGGCAACGGGAAGCAAAUCGUCCAAACCUGGUCUCAGUGCAGAUCGGGGGCUGCAACUCGCCCCCGUGAAGGCGGAGUUGCUAGUAACCGCGUAUCAGCCACGGCGCGGUGAAUACGUUCCCGGGCCUUGUACACACCGCCCGU